rnacentral:lncRNA from 1 species
GGGGCGGUUCCUAGAUGUUGACAGGGGCGUUAUUCUAUCAAAUUAAAAAAAUAUCAACGAGUGUAGCGAGACUUAAACAAUAUUGACGAUUUUAAGGCAAAACACGAUACUUUGUCCAAUCCUAGGGUGAACGACAUGUUCGUCCCCACCCCCGAAUCCGACUUCUGCCUUGAAAUUGCGACAAGAUUUAACUUUGUACAAACAUCGUAGUUUCAAAAUAGGAAAAAAGAAAGGUUUCUCAUUCCUUUUUUU